GGAAGCUUGGCAGAGCGGUUGAAUGCACCGGUCUUGACCGGCGUGGGUUUGUAGCCCACCGAGAGUUCGAAUCUCUCAGCUUCCGCCA
rnacentral:tRNA from 1 species